AGUCUGCGGGAAUUGAUCGUAGAUAAAUUCUGCCCACUGUUUUUAAUAAAGGGCCGCAGAACUUUAACUGUGCUAAGGUAGCGUGAUAGUUUGUCUUUUAAAUGGAGACUGUAUGAAAGGGAAUUCGUGGUACAGCUGUCUCAUCAGGAUUUUUUAGAAUUUAUUAAAUAGGUGCAAAUACCUAUAAAGCGACAAAAGACGAGAAGACCCUGAGAGUUUUAACGAAAAAAAGUGAGUCUUUUUUAGUUUUUGUUGGGGCAACAAAGGAACAAUUAAUAACCUCCUUUAAUUAUUAACCUGCUCCCUUUGGGAGAAAGAAAAAACUACCUCAGGGAUAACAGCAUUAUUUUUUAAAAAGUUUGUGACCUCGAUGUUGGACUAGGGAAAAUAAGGUUUAGAAGAUCUUUUUUUUUGCUCUGUUCGAGCUUAAUCCCCU
rnacentral:rRNA from 2 species